rnacentral:rRNA from 1 species
AUGCACGCUGGCGGCGUGCCUCAUCCCUUCCAGUCGAGCGCACAGACGAGGAGCUUGCUCCUCUGACGUUAGCGGCGGACGGGUGAGUAACACGUGGAUAACCUACCUAUAAGACUGGGAUAACUUCGGGAAACCGGAGCUAAUACCGGAUAAUAUAUUGAACCGCAUGUUUCAAUAGUGAAAGACGGUUUUGCUGUCACUUAUAGAUGGCUCCGCGCCGCAUUAGCUAGUUGGUAAGGUAACGGCUUACCAAGGCAACGAUGCGUAGCCGACCUGAGAGGGUGAUCGGCCACACUGGAACUGAGACACGGUCCAGACUCCUACGGGAGGCAGCAGUAGGGAAUCUUCCGCAAUGGGCGAAAGCCUGACGGAGCAACGCCGCGUGAGUGAUGAAGGUCUUCGGAUCGUAAAACUCUGUUAUUAGGGAAGAACAAAUGUGUAAGUAACUAUGCACGUCUUGACGGUACCUAAUCAGAAAGCCACGGCUAACUACGUG